CAAAUUUUGGAUUUACAUUCUUAGAGUCAGAGAUUACAAUUUUAUCCCUAAUCAAUUGAAAGACCAUUCUUCUUUUCUUCAUUAUACGUGUAAAUGGUGGAGUUUGCCACCAGAAUUCUUGACUUCUCUGUCUUCCACAUUUCAGUCCAACUACAUGGACAAAAAUCAUUCUUCUUUCUCCUCUUCUUUGUGUGGCAUAUUAAGGCACCUUGAGUGCCAAAUGCCUAAAAGUUUAUUCUCAUUCUAUGACUCACUAUGUCAAGAAAUUCCUAUAAAUAGCCAUUGAAACUCCAUUUUUCUUCAAGCUAAAAAUCAAUUAAUAUUUCUGAUUGUAUUUCUAUAAAUAGCCAUUGAAACUCUAUUUAUUUCCUUGAUUUUUCACCAUUAAUGGACACCCAUUUUCUCUCUCCUCCAUUUGACCACCGUGGUGCCGCCACUGCUGCCACCACCUGCGUCGGCGACUCCCUCCUUCGCCGAGUUCAGCCACCAUCGUCCAGAACCAGACCGGCCGCCGGCGAUUCCACCCUUGGCCGCGCGAGUUACGGCGUGUUCUUGUGUUGCGUGAGAAUGGAUGUUUUCUCUUGCAUUUCCUUUCUCUGUAGUGCUUUUAUGGAUUAUAUUUAAGUGGGCCAGGGGUUUAAAUUAAGGAGCCAACAAUUAUUUUGGAGUAGAUAGUGGACCGUGAGUUUACAUAAAGAAGAACUAUUGUGGGCUUAUCAUCAUAAAGGUAGAGGUUUAGUUAUUAUCAUGAUUUUAAAUGGACUUUUAAUGGAAUAAUUAUAAUUAAAAGUACAUGAUUAAUUUUUAUCAUUGUUAUGAUUUAGAGGUUGACAACUAUGGAAAUAAUUUGGAGUAUAAGAUGUUCGGCUCAAACUUUUUAGUUAAGGAUCGAUCGAGGUAACUAUUAUGUCCAGCAAUUAUGUUUACAUGCCCGUGUAUAAAAGUAUUAUAUUAUGGUAUUAUAAUUUUUAUGUCCAACACUUAAGUUAUGUACCCGUAUAUGAAAUGUGGGACAAUCAUGUGUAUGUUUAUUAUAUGAUUAGUGUGCUAAAUGAUAUGAUAGAUGACUUAUAACUAUGAUGAUAUGUUUACGUAUUUUAUUAUUUUAAUAAUGUUAAAGACGUUGUUCGAAAAUAAUGAUAAUAUUUAUAAAGUUAUUUUAAAUAAAGACAGAUGUUGCUUUUGUCGGCAUUGAAAAGUGAACUGAACUAGUAAGUGGGCAAGUUACAGGUGGAUGUCAUUUACUGUUACAGUUAAAAGGGAAAUAGUUCCCCAGAAAAGUUCAUCCAAACCCUGUACUUGCCAAUGAACAGUAAAGGAAAUGAUUCCUUGCCGACACAGUUUUCAAGAUAACGAGAUUAAGUUAUUUCCGAACAAUAAAUGCUAAUGAUUGAUAUGUGCCAAAUGAUUUUAAAAAUAAAACCGUUUUGACGGGCUGGAGAAAUAUUACUGAGUUUUCCACUCAUUUUUUGAUUCUUUCUGUGUUUUUUCCUGUUUUCUAUUUUUAUGACGAUGUACAGGUUCGAUUAAGGAGUUAGAGUUACUCAAGAGGAAAGUUAUUACUGGAGUUGGUAGUUUAUUAUGGAGAUAUGGAGAUGAGAAAUAUUUAUAAUGGAAAUCCUGUUACUGAGGUCGUUAUAAGAAUAUUGAUUUAUAUUUAUUUUUGGGAAAGUUGUAUUAUUUACGGAAUGUUAUUAAAGAUUAUUUUAUUUGUGGGCCCAUACCCACAAGUCCCAGGAUUGAUUAUGCCUAAUUCCGCUGCUAAAAGUAAGUUAAGUACGGUUUAUUACCGAUAAUUAAGGUACCGAAAAGUCGGGGCGUUACAGUAUGGUAUCAGAGCAGAGCCCAGCCGGAAGUGAUAUAUACUGCCAGAGUGCCAGGGUAUGAUCUUUGGGAUAUGAGAAAAUUUUGAGGUUUUAACUGCUAUUUGGGUAAUUAGGUAUUAAGUUAUGAGAAUAAGAGUUUUAAGAGAAGUGAAUGACUUUUGGGCUAUUGUCAUAGUAUGACUAUUUGAGGAUAGACUGACCUUGAGUUUUGAGAUAUCCAGUUUCGAGGACAAAACUUUUUCUAAGGGGGUAAGGAUAUAACACCCCGUCCUUUUAAGCCUCUUUUAUUAUUCUGUAAUUACAAUUAUUAACGUAAUUACGUUUUUUUUCUCCAAUAUUAUUUUAUCUUAUUAUGUUCACGUUUUUAUUGCGACAUGAUUAUAUUCUUUGAGCCCAAUUCACGUGUCAUAGUUUAUCAUCUUGCAAGCCCAAUUGUUAUUCCAAAUUUCUGAUUUACAUUCUAAGAGUCAUAGAUUACAAUUUUAUCCCUAAUCAAUUGAAUGACCAUUCUUCUUUUCUUCAUUAUACGUGUAAAUGGUGGAGUUUGUCACCAGAAUUCUUGACUUCUCUGUCUUCCAAAUUUCAGUCCAACCACAUGGACAAAAUUCAUUCUUCUUUCUCCUCUUCUUUGCGUGGCAUAUUAAGGCACCUUGAGUGCCAAAUGUCUAAAAGUUUAUUCUCCUACUAUGACUCACCAUGUCAAGAAAUUCCUAUAAAUAUCCAUUGAAACUCCAUUUUUCUUCAAGCUAAAAAUCAAUUAAUAUUUCUGAUUGUAUUUCUAUAAAUAGCAAUUGAAACUCUAUUUAUUUCCUUGAUUUUUCACCAUUAAUGGACACCCAUUUUCUCUCUUCUCCAUUUGACCACCGUGGUGCCGCGACUGCUGCCACCACCUGCGUCAGCGACUCCCUCCUUCGCCGAGUUCAGCCACCAUCGUCCAGAACCAGAGCCGUCGCCGGCGAGUCCACCCUUGGCCUUGCGAGUUACAGCGUGUUCUUGUGCUGCGUGAGAAUGAAUGCCUUCUCUUGCAUUUGCUUUCUCUGUACUACUUUUAUGGAUUAUAUUUAAGUUGGCCAGGGGAUUAAAUUAAGGAGCCAACAAUUAUUUUGGAGUAGAUAGUGGACCGUGAGUUUACAUAAAGAAGAACUAUUGUGGGAUUAUCAUCAUAAAGGUUGUCAACCAUGGAAAUUAUUGGGAGUAUAAGAUGUUCCGCUCAAACUUUUUAGUUAAGGAUCGAUCGAGGUUCGAUUAAGGAGUUAGAGUUUCUCAAGAGGAAAGUUAUUACUGGAGUUGGUAGUUUAUUAUGGAGAUAUGGAGAUGAGAAAUAUUUAUAAUGGAAAUCCUGUUACUGAGGUUGUUAUAAGAAUAUUGAUUUAUAUUUAUUUUUGGGAAAGUUGUAUUAUUUAUGAAAUGUUAUUAAAGAUUAUUUUAUUUGUGGGCCCAUACCCACAGGUCCCAGGAUUAAUUAUGCCUAAUUCCGCUGCUAAAAAUAAGUUAAGUUCGGUUUAUUACCGAUAAUUAAGGUACCGAAAAGUCGGGGUGUUACAGUGGUAGUCUCGAUUAAUACAUGUAGCCACUACCAACGGAACUCCUUUUUAUUUUGUUACUGUUAUUAUUACUAGCUGGAGCGGGAACAUUGUGACAUUUGUGAACACUGUGACUUUAAAACCUGUAGGUGUAAAUUAAAAAAAAAAAUAGCAGUUAGAUACCUUGCUGAAACUAUCAUUAUUGGGAUUUUUAUUGCGUCAGCUUAUUGGGAAACGAAACACUAAAACACUUCAUGACCUAGGCAUCUACUAUGCAUGUAAACAAUGGCAUAUGACUCCGGUACGUAUCAAGCAUGCAAACGGUGGGAUAUGACCAAUAAAUUCUUGACUUUAAUAAAUUUACAAUUCAAUUCAAUUCAUGCAAACAGUGUGAUACGACCAUGCAAAAUCAGGAACCUUGUUGAAAAUUUUAAUAACUUUUCAGUGCUUUUUGAAAACAGUCAUUUAUUGUUUAAAGACCAAAUUUUGAAAAUAUAUUGGUAAUUACUAUGCAUGAAUUCAGCAUGAAAGCUGAAUCCAAUGCAUGAAAACACACUAUAAAUAUAGGUGUUUUUUUUUUUUAAUUUCUCAUAUCCAUCACUUCCCUUUCUUUCUCUAUACAAACCACCAUCUAUAUUUUAUGUUCUUUCCCCUCUUAUUCUCGUCCAAAAUGGAUUCCAAUGUUAAACGUUCAUCCUUACACAAUUGUCAUGAAAACAUGUCAAUAGAUUACAUCGGAGGAAAGUUAACAAGUAGAAGUCUUAGUUGGUUUAAACAUUAUAUUCAUCGGUCUUGGGUUCAAGGUAACCAGGGUGAGGGGUCAAUGGGACAAGUCUGGUUUCUUAGGCUAUGCCUUCGUUGAUUUUGGGGAGGGGCCAAGAAUAUUUCGAGUCUGCUGAACGGUUUUCCAAACAGUAUGAGCUGGCAGGGCAUGGUAGAACACACUGCCUGUAUAAUAUGGAAGCCCGACUGGGAUUUAUGCAUGGCUGGCUAUGAGGACAUAUGAUUGUCUGUUUAGGGGUGCUCAUGCGUGCUAUCAGGCUGUUGAUGUAGCAACAACAUCUAGAAUCAACACGAAAACGACGAUGCAUGAAAACAUUGGGACAUACGAAGCAGUUUCAGUCGGUUUUAACAAUAUGUACAAUAUUGUUUGAACGUCUCGUCAAUGCAGUGAUGGUGGUGAAGCUGGUGGUGUUUCCAUGGAUGAUGAUAAAGGCUCUGUUUCAUGUCUUGUUUUCGUAUUGGUAGUUUUAUUUCCUGUUUUCUGCAUCCAUGUUUUAAUUAUCUAUUUGCAGCCAAGUUCGUCUUCAAGAUGAGCUAUAUAUGCUGACUCGAUAUUUUGUGGUG